GACGAACGCUGGCGGCGUGCUUAACACAUGCAAGUCGAACGGAAAGGCCCUGCUUUUGUGGGGUGCUCGAGUGGCGAACGGGUGAGUAACACGUGAGUAACCUGCCCUUGACUUUGGGAUAACUUCAGGAAACUGGGGCUAAUACCGGAUAGGAGCUCCUGCUGCAUGGUGGGGGUUGGAAAGUUUCGGCGGUUGGGGAUGGACUCGCGGCUUAUCAGCUUGUUGGUGGGGUAGUGGCUUACCAAGGCUUUGACGGGUAGCCGGCCUGAGAGGGUGACCGGCCACAUUGGGACUGAGAUACGGCCCAGACUCCUACGGGAGGCAGCAGUGGGGAAUAUUGCACAAUGGGCGGAAGCCUGAUGCAGCAACGCCGCGUGCGGGAUGACGGCCUUCGGGCUGUAAACCGCUUUCGCCUGUGACGAAGCGUGAGUGAUGGUAAUGGGUAAAGAAGCACCGGCUAACUACGUGCCAGCAGCCGCGGUGAUACGUAGGGUGCGAGCGUUGUCCGGAUUUAUUGGGCGUAAAGGGCUCGUAGGUGGUUGAUCGCGUCGGAAGUGUAAUCUUGGGGCUUAACCCUGAGCGUGCUUUCGAUACGGGUUGACUUGAGGAAGGUAGGGGAGAAUGGAAUUCCUGGUGGAGCGGUGGAAUGCGCAGAUAUCAGGAGGAACACCAGUGGCGAAGGCGGUUCUCUGGGCCUUUCCUGACGCUGAGGAGCGAAAGCGUGGGGAGCGAACAGGCUUAGAUACCCUGGUAGUCCACGCUGUAAACGGUGGGUACUAGGUGUGGGGUCCAUUCCACGGGUUCCGUGCCGUAGCUAACGCUUUAAGUACCCCGCCUGGGGAGUACGGCCGCAAGGCUAAAACUCAAAGGAAUUGACGGGGCCCCGCACAAGCGGCGGAGCAUGCGGAUUAAUUCGAUGCAACGCGUAGAACCUUACCUGGGUUUGACAUGGAUCGGGAGUGCUCAGAGAUGGGUGUGCCUCUUUUGGGGUCGGUUCACAGGUGGUGCAUGCCUGUCGUCAGCUCGUGUCGUGAGAUGUUGGGUUAAGUCCCGCAACGAGCGCAACCCUUGUUCACUGUUGCCAGCACGUUAUGGUGGGGACUCAGUGGAGACCGCCGGGGUCAACUCGGAGGAAGGUGGGGAUGACGUCAAGUCAUCAUGCCCCUUAUGUCCAGGGCUUCACGCAUGCUACAAUGGCUGGUACAGGGAGUGGCGAGCCUGUGAGGGUGAGCGAAUCUCGGAAAGCCGGUCUCAGUUCGGAUUGGGGUCUGCAACUCGACCUCAUGAAGUCGGAGUCGCUAGUAAUCGCAGAUCAGCAACGCUGCGGUGAAUACGUUCCCGGGGCU
rnacentral:rRNA from 1 species